GUAUAAGGGACAGGUGAGUCAUCGAAUCUUUGAACGCACAUUGCGCCCUUUGGUAUUCCUUAGGGCAUGCCUGUUCGAGCGUCAUCUAACCCUUCAAGCAUCGCUUGGUGUUGGGCGCCUGUCCCGCCUCCGCGCGCGGACUCGCCUUGAAAGCAUUGGCAGCCUGUGUAUUGGCUUCGAGCGCAGCAGAUUCGCGCCUCGUCCCCUCUCCGCAUGGGCGUCCAUGAAGCCACCCCCAUAUUUUGACCUCGGAUCAGGUAGGGAUACCCGCUGAACUUAAGCAUAUCAAUAAGCGGAGGA
rnacentral:misc_RNA from 1 species